GGGUGAUGUGCCUUAAAGCAUCAGACACUUGGGCCUCGGGCAUCAGGAGCCAGCCACAGGGAUGUCUGGGGAAAUGGCGUUCCAUGAGAUGCAAGCACACAAGAAUGCACUUGGCACAUCUGGGGAACAGCAGGCAGCUGAUAUCACUGGGCCCACCCCGCACCAGGGAGGAUGGAAGCAGGUAGAGCAGAGCCGGAGCCAGGUGCAGGCCAUUGGAGAGAAGGUCUCCUUGGCCCAGGCCAAGAUUGAGAAGAUCAAGGGCAGCAAGAAGGCCAUCAAGGUGUUCUCCAGUGCCAAGUACCCUGCUCCAGAGCGCCUGCAGGAAUAUGGCUCCAUCUUCACGGGCGCCCAGGACCCUGGCCUGCAGAGACGCCCCCGCCACAGGAUCCAGAGCAAGCACCGCCCCCUGGACGAGCGGGCCCUGCAGGAGAAGCUGACUUUCCUGUGUGCGUGAGCACCAAGCCGGAGCCCGAGGACGAUGCAGAAGAGGGACUUGGGGGUCUUCCCAGCAACAUCAGCUCUGUCAGCUCCUUGCUGCUCUUCAACACCACCGAGAACCUGUAGAAGAAGUAUGUCUUCCUGGACCCCCUGGCUGGUGCUGUAACAAAGACCCAUGUGAUGCUGGGGGCAGAGACAGAGGAGAAGCUGUUUGAUGCCCCCUUGUCCAUCAGCAAGAGAGAGCAGCUGGAACAGCAGGUCCCAGAGAACUACUUCUAUGUGCCAGACCUGGGCCAGGUGCCUGAGAUUGAUGUUCCAUCCUACCUGCCUGACCUGCCCGGCAUUACCAACGACCUCAUGUACAUUGCUGACCUGGGCCCCGGCAUUGCCCCCUCUGCCCCUGGCACCAUUCCAGAACUGCCCACCUUCCACACUGAGGUAGCCGAGCCUCUCAAGGUAGACCUACAAGAUGGGGUACUAACACCACCCCCACCGCCCCCACCACCACCCCCAGCUCCUGAGGUGCAGGCCAGUGCACCCCCACUCCCACCCUCAACCGCGGACCCUGUAGGCCAAGGCGCCAGGCAGGACGACAGCAGCAGCAGCGAGUCUCCUUCAGUCCAGGGAGCUCCCAGGGAAGUGGUUGACCCCUCCGGUGGCCGGGCCACUCUGCUAGAGUCCAUCCGCCAAGCUGGGGGCAUCGGCAAGGCCAAGCUGCGCAGCAUGAAGGAGCGAAAGCUGGAGAAGAAGCAGCAGAAGGAGCAGGAGCAAGUGAGAGCCACGAGCCAAGGUGGGCACUUGAUGUCGGAUCUCUUCAACAAGCUGGUCAUGAGGCGCAAGGGCAUCUCUGGGAAAGGACCUGGGGCUGGUGAGGGGCCCGGAGGAGCCUUUGCCCGCGUGUCAGACUCCAUCCCUCCUCUGCCGCCACCGCAGCAGCCACAGGGCAGAGGAGGACGAGGACGACUGGGAAUCCUAGGGGGCUCCAUGACACCUUCCCCCCCAGACCCAGACUUGGGCCGUUGCUCUGACAUGGACACAGCCAGGACAAGCUGCUCAGACCUACUUCCUUGGGAGGGGGUGACGGAACCAGCACUGUGUGGAGACCAGCUUCAAGGAGCGGAAGGCUGGCUUGAGGCCACACAGCUGGGGCGGGGACUUCUGUCUGCCUGUGCUCCAUGGGGGGACGGCUCCACCCAGCCUGCGCCACUGUGUUCUUCUCUUAAGAGGCUUCCAGAGAAAACGGCACACCAAUCAAUAAAGAACUGAGCAGAAA